rnacentral:rRNA from 1 species
UACGAAGGGGGCUAGCGUUGUUCGGAUUUACUGGGCGUAAAGCGCACGUAGGCGGAUCUUUAAGUCAGGGGUGAAAUCCCGGGGCUCAACCUCGGAACUGCCUUUGAUACUGGGGAUCUCGAGUCCGGGAGAGGUGAGCGGAACUGCGAGUGUAGAGGUGAAAUUCGUAGAUAUUCGCAAGAACACCAGUGGCGAAGGCGGCUCACUGGCCCGGUACUGACGCUGAGGUGCGAAAGCGUGGGGAGCAAACAGG